rnacentral:rRNA from 1 species
AACGAACGCUGGCGGCAUGCCUAACACAUGCAAGUCGAACGAGACCUUCGGGUCUAGUGGCGCACGGGUGCGUAACGCGUGGGAACCUGCCCUUAGGUUCGGAAUAACUCCCCGAAAGGGGUGCUAAUACCGGAUAAUGUCUUCGGACCAAAGAUUUAUCGCCUUUGGUGGGGCCCGCUUUGGAUUAGCUAGUUGGUAGGGUAAAAGCCUACCAAGGCGACGAUCCAUAGCUGGUCUGAGAGGAUGAUCAGCCACACUGGGACUGAGACACGGCCCAGACUCCUACGGGAGGCAGCAGUGGGGAAUAUUGGACAAUGGGCGAAAGCCUGAUCCAGCAAUGCCGCGUGAGUGAUGAAGGCCUUAGGGUUGUAAAGCUCUUUUACCCGGGAUGAUAAUGACAGUACCGGGAGAAUAAGCUCCGGCUAACUCCGUG